GCGCGUGUGGCCCAAUCCGGCAGAGGCAAUCGGCUUAAACCCGAUUCACGUAUGAGUUCGAAUCUCUUCACGCGCA
rnacentral:tRNA from 1 species